rnacentral:rRNA from 1 species
AACGCGAAGAACCUUACCCAGGCUCGAAAUGUAAUGGACGACAUCAGAGAUGAUGUUUUCCGCAAGGACUAUUAUAUAGGUGCUGCAUGGCUGUCGUCAGCUCGUGCCGUGAGGUGUUGGGUUAAGUCCCGCAACGAGCGCAACCCUUAUCAUUAGUUGCCAACACGCGAGGUGGGGACUCUAAUGAGACUGCCUGGGUUAACCAGGAGGAAGGUGAGGAUGACGUCAAGUCCGCAUGGCCUUUAUGUCUGGGGCUACACACGUGCUACAAUGGUCGGUACAGAAGGCAGCAAGACCGUAAGGUGGAGCAAAUCCGUAAAGCCGAUCACAGUUCAGAUUGUAGUCUGCAACUCGACUACAUGAAGUUGGAAUUGCUAGUAAUGACGUGUCAGCAACAACGUCGUGAAUACGUUCCCGGGCCUUGUA